UAUCCAUUGUGGGAAGCUACCCCGUCGCGGGCCUGCCUUCCCAUUACUCAAUUCGCGCGGCGGACGAGCGCGCGAGCCGGCAUUGCAGUCGCCGUCCAGCGAGGAGUAAGCUCGCGAGUGUGAAUCAAACCGACUGAAAUCGUCGUCCGACGGCGGAGUGCACGAGAAAAGUUUCGAAAACGACGCAAAACACAAGCAAAUCAUACCAUCCGAAUUUUGUUUACACUAGGCGAAUUGCAGAAUGCCCAACCGGCUUCUUAUCGCGCGUCUUAUCAGACUUCGUACAGCGCAUUGAGACAUCAAGUAUCAACAAACCAACAAAAGUAAAUCUUGUGAAUGCUUUGAUCUGCAGGAGUCUUGGCGUCUCCAUGCCUUGACAAUUAUCGGUGAUACGAAGAUAACAUGAUUGCAACUAACCUGACAGCGGAUGAGUUAACGCAGACAUCUGUCCGCUGGCACCAUGCAAAAGAUACGCUUGCGGAGCCCUCCGCCGCCGGACACCGCGCACACACACACCGCUCGCUCGCCUGCACUCUGACGGGGCCUCGCCUCCAUACGCCGCUGCACGGGGACGGCGGCGAUCGCUGGUGGCACUUUGGGGCGGCCGUUUGUGUGUUUACAACCGACACAGAAGGACCGCCAUACUAGUCACUAGAAAAAUGUAACCGUGCUAGAGGUUGUGCGCGGGGCCGGGGUGGGGGAUGGUUGCGGGUGCGACGGGGAGCGACGACGACCAUCAACGACCAUCUUUGCUCGCAGGCACAGCGUUGCCAAGUCAGCGCACGCGGCUUCGAUCCGCCGCGCGCGGCAGGAGAUGUUUCGCUAGGUGAAAAUAUUUGAAUUUACUAAUAGCACAACUUUUGUUUCAGGUUUUCCGUUAAUUAUCUCACCUCAUCAUUAACGAAUUCAUGAACUGCUUUCGUUUGUAAACUGGUUGCCUGCCGAAAAUAAAUAGAAUAUUAAAAUGAAA